GACGAACGCUGGCGGCGUGCCUAAUACAUGCAAGUAGAACGCUGAAGCGAGGAGCUUGCUCUUCUUGGAUGAGUUGCGAACGGGUGAGUAACGCGUAGGUAACCUGCCUUGUAGCGGGGGAUAACUAUUGGAAACGAUAGCUAAUACCGCAUAACAAUGGAUGACACAUGUCAUUUAUUUGAAAGGGGCAAUUGCUCCACUACAAGAUGGACCUGCGUUGUAUUAGCUAGUAGGUGAGGUAAUGGCUCACCUAGGCGACGAUACAUAGCCGACCUGAGAGGGAGGUCGGCCACACUGGGACUGAGACACGGCCCAGACUCCUACGGGGGGCAGCAGUAGGGAAUCUUCGGCAAUGGGGGCAACCCUGACCGAACAACGCCGCGUGAGUGAAGAAUGGUCUCGGAUCGUAAAGCUCUGUUGUAGGUCAAGAACGGGUGUGAGAGUGGAAAGUUCACACUGUGACGGUAGCUUAACAGAAAGGGACGGCUAACUACGUG
rnacentral:rRNA from 1 species